GUUUGAGAGUGCUUUGAAGAUUCUUCGCCUCCUGAUGGAUCAAAGUACGAGCGCUCCCUGUGGAUUCGAUUAUAUGUAGGAAGUGACUGUCUGGUGUAUCUGCACCAGAUCCUGGGGAAAUGAAGUCAGAUGCAGAGGCAGGGUCGUCCAGUGAUGCAACACUGCCGUUCUAUGUGCAACGUCACCGCUAAUUCCCCCGGCGAAAACACAAACACGUGAAGAGACUACAGUAUUGACCGUUCUGGCAAUGAAUCGUGACUGCUCGGACAGUCGAUAAUCGAAACACAGAGCACCAGCAUGAUGUUUUCAUAUUGGGAACCACACACCAGCUCAAUUCUCAAGCCCAAAAAUUGAUGAAUACAAAACA